rnacentral:rRNA from 1 species
AUUGAACGCUGGCGGUAUGCUUAACACAUGCAAGUCGAACGGUAGCAGGCCUUCGGGCGCUGACGAGUGGCGGACGGGUGAGUAACGCGUAGGAAUCUGCCUAUUAGUGGGGGACAACGUGGGGAAACUCACGCUAAUACCGCAUACGCCCUACGGGGGAAAGGAGGGGACCUUUUAGGCCUUUCGCUAAUAGAUGAGCCUGCGUUGGAUUAGCUAGUUGGUAGGGUAAUGGCCUACCAAGGCGACGAUCCAUAGCUGGUCUGAGAGGACGAUCAGCCACACUGGGACUGAGACACGGCCCAGACUCCUACGGGAGGCAGCAGUGGGGAAUAUUGGACAAUGGGCGAAAGCCUGAUCCAGCAAUACCGCGUGUGUGAAGAAGGCCUUAGGGUUGUAAAGCACUUUCAAUUGGGAGGAAAACCUACCGGCCAAUACCCGGUAGCUUGACAUUACCUUUAGAAGAAGCACCGGCUAACUCCGUG